GGCAAAGAUGAAGAGUGCUUCAUUAUUUCUGACACCUCUUGUAUGAGGAGAGCUUUCCUUAAAGCUCUUCUUUGAGCACAGACAGCAACUCUCUGAGCC
rnacentral:snoRNA from 1 species